rnacentral:rRNA from 1 species
GACGAACGCUGGCGGCGUGCUUAACACAUGCAAGUCGAACGGAAAGGCCCUGCUUUUGUGGGGUGCUCGAGUGGCGAACGGGUGAGUAACACGUGAGUAACCUGCCCUUGACUUUGGGAUAACUUCAGGAAACUGGGGCUAAUACCGGAUAGGAGCUCCUGCUGCAUGGUGGGGGUUGGAAAGAUUCGGCGGUUGGGGAUGGACUCGCGGCUUAUCAGCUUGUUGGUGGGGUAGUGGCUUACCAAGGCUUUGACGGGUAGCCGGCCUGAGAGGGUGGACGGCCACAGUGGGACUGAGAUACGGCCCAGACUCCUACGGGAGGCAGCAGUGGGGAAUAUUGCACAAUGGGCGGAAGCCUGAUGCAGCAACGCCGCGUGCGGGAUGACGGCCUUCGGGUUGUAAACCGCUUUCGCCUGUGACGAAGCGUGAGUGACGGUAAUGGGUAAAGAAGCACCGGCUAACUACGUG